rnacentral:rRNA from 1 species
UGGGGAAUUGUUCACAAUGGGCGCAAGCCUGAUGACGCAACGCCGCGUGGGGGAUGAAGGUCUUCGGAUUGUAAACCCCUGUCGAAUGGGACGAAAGACUCGCGAGUUAAUACUUCGCGGGAGUGACGGUACCGUUAAAGGAAGCCACGGCUAACUCUGUGCCAGCAGCCGCGGUAAUACAGAGGUGGCAAGCGUUGUUCGGAAUUACUGGGCGUAAAGGGCGCGUAGGCGGCCUACUAAGUCAGACGUGAAAUCCCCCGGCUUAACCUGGGAACUGCGUCUGAUACUGGAAGGCUUGAGUAUGGGAGAGGGAUGUAGAAUUCCAGGUGUAGCGGUGAAAUGCGUAGAUAUCGGGAGGAACACCUGUGGCGAAGGCGGCCACCUGGUUGGAUACUGACGCUGAGACGCGAAAGCGUGGGUAGCGAACAGGAUUAGAUACCCCUGUAGUCCCUGAGCGGGCUGGCAAGGCGCAU